GAGUUACAAUAUGCUUUUUCCGAUUCCAAAAGGCACUAGGAUGAUCAGCACAAAUAUCAAUGGCCAUUUGUUCAGAAAUGAGCUUAAUUUUUUCCUGUACUUUAGCAGAUUUUAAAGUAUCGAAUAUAUUCAUACUAAAUAUCUCAAGUUGUAAAUAAUCAACAUGCUUUUGUUUCAUUUCAAUUAGAGCAUUAAUAUCUCUAGAAA
rnacentral:lncRNA from 1 species